ACCUGGCUGGCUCAGUCUGUAGAGCAUGUGACUCUUGAUCUCAGGGUCAUGGGUUUGAGCCCCACGUUGGGUA
rnacentral:tRNA from 1 species